rnacentral:rRNA from 1 species
CUAAUACAUGCAAGUCGAGCGAACAGACGAGGAGCUUGCUCCUCUGACGUUAGCGGCGGACGGGUGAGUAACACGUGGAUAACCUACCUAUAAGACUGGGAUAACUUCGGGAAACCGGAGCUAAUACCGGAUAAUAUAUUGAACCGCAUGGUUCAAUAGUGAAAGACGGUUUUGCUGUCACUUAUAGAUGGAUCCGCGCCGCAUUAGCUAGUUGGUAAGGUAACGGCUUACCAAGGCAACGAUGCGUAGCCGACCUGAGAGGGUGAUCGGCCACACUGGAACUGAGACACGGUCCAGACUCCUACGGGAGGCAGCAGUAGGGAAUCUUCCGCAAUGGGCGAAAGCCUGACGGAGCAACGCCGCGUGAGUGAUGAAGGUCUUCGGAUCGUAAAACUCUGUUAUUAGGGAAGAACAAAUGUGUAAGUAACUAUGCGCGUCUUGACGGUACCUAAUCAGAAAGCCACGGCUAACUACGUGCCAGCAGCCGCGGUAAUACGUAGGUGGCAAGCGUUAUCCGGAAUUAUUGGGCGUAAAGCGCGCGUAGGCGGUUUUUUAAGUCUGAUGUGAAAGCCCACGGCUCAACCGUGGAGGGUCAUUGGAAACUGGAAAACUUGAGUGCAGAAGAGGAAAGUGGAAUUCCAUGUGUAGCGGUGAAAUGCGCAGAGAUAUGGAGGAACACCAGUGGCGAAGGCGACUUUCUGGUCUGUAACUGACGCUGAUGUGCGAAA